GGAUGGGGGUACCAAGUAAUUAAGCAUGUUUUUCCUGUCUUUUAUUUUUGGAAAAAAUAUUGUUUAGUCCCUGUACUCUGAUUCUGUCCUCAUUUCAGUUCUUGACAUUCUAAUUUAAUCUGAAAAGUCCCUGAGGUCACAAUUUUCGUCCGAUUGGUACACUCCGUCCAAUUGCUCCGUUUGUAGGCUGACUUGGCAUUAAAGUCAACGCCACGUAAGCCUUUCUAAUUGUGAAAUGUCCAUACUAUCCAUGCCCUCUAUUACGGGUGUUUAGGCCGAACCCUUCUCCAUCCAUUUCUUGAGAAGCAUCAGAUCGAGCCCCAAAAAUCAAGUCGUGUUGUAAUGAUGGUGACUCAGCCUUCUCUCCACUUUCCGGCUACCUCUCGACGUCAGACCGGUGUUGUUCGACUCCUCUUGGCGGCGCAGACCGGAGCCCAGUCUUCCUUGCUCCGAACGAGCGGUGACGGUGGCCGGGCAAAGCCUGAAAGCUUCACGUGUUUCCGGCGAGGUUUUCCAAUUCGGGCCAAAUUGUGGCAGCUCACUGGUGUCAGAAGCUUCCUCUCGUCCUCGCCGACCUAUCCACGGUGUUGGUUUGUCCAGAUGAUAAGGCAUGAGAUAGAAUCGAAGCCGGGAAGCUUCGAUGCUUUCGGCGAGUUUUCCGGCAACUCCGGUCACCGUUGAUGGUGUGGCGUUUGAAGUGACAAAUUCAAGCACUUUGGAGUUAUUUUUUGGUCAAGAAUGGGGGAAAAGGCAGGGGGUAUAUUGGACAAUUUGCAUGUUACAUGACAUGCAAACUGCUGAGCUAGUGUGCCUAUGAGUGCCACAUCAGCAACUUAACGGCCCGAUUUGACGGAAUGUUAAUGGUGAGAAUCGAUUAGACGGAAAUUGUUACCUCAGGGAUUUUUCAAAUUAAAUUACAAUGUCAGGGACUGAAACGAUGACAGAGUCUUAGUACAGGGACUAAACACUAUUUUCUCCUUUAUUUUUAGUUUUCUGAUGGUGAUGGUGCUAUAGAUCCCAAAAAGUAUUACAAAAUUUUAAUACCAAAUGAGGUGGCAUAUGCUAUGUCAUCAGCUUUUGUUUAGAAAA